UAAUAAAUAUGUUUUUUUCUUACCGAUAAAGAAUUUAACAGAAUUGUAGUGUCAAAUUAUAUACAUGCAAUGACAUUCGUAGCUUAAGAUAGAUUGGUAAAUAAAAUAGAUUUAUUUUUGUAUGCAAAGAUUAAAAAAGGAGAUAAUAAAAUAAUAUAAAUAAUAAUAUAUUUUUUCUUUUUUCUUUUGUGAACGUUUAUGAUAUAUCCGAACAACAAAUAGGAGAAUGUAAAAUUACUUCACUGAUUUUACUUUCAAUACUUUCAUUGUUUUCUUAGCUUUUCGAAAAAAAUAUGAUUUUAUAACGAUCUGUACGUAAUUAUGUCUAGCUGCGAAAAUGUAUUGAUAUUUUUUUUUUUCUCAUUAACAUAGUCACGCAGCGUGAUCACGCUGUUUAUAUUUCAUUUUAAAAAAUAACAAAGAAUUUAUUUAUGUUGCGUCGUGAGGAUGCAACUACGAGAGCGAUUCUAAAUACGCGUCUCGCACCUGACCAACGAUGAUAGUCGAUUUGCACAGAGAAUAUCCCCCGACUUUUCCUUUUUGUUCGAGCUAUAAUAGACCCACUGUUCACGAUGAAUAUAAAGACGGCGACACUAGGCUAGGAUACCGUUGAAGGUCAUCAGCAAAAUACCGUGUUCCUGCAAAUUAAUGGGAGAACGCACAUUCUUUUAAAGGAUCCCGUGAAACUCUCGUUAAUUGUACUGGCUGUAUAAUAAGACUUGAGAAUUUAGAUGUCAUGAGUCUGAAAGAUGUAACUUGACUGCCUUAUUUUGACGUCUUUAGAAUUAUCCACGCAGAUUGUAACGAGAUUAGGAAAGGGAAUAAAAAGAGCAGAGUUGAAGUAUGAUCUGAGCAUAAAAAGGGCCCCCUUUAUUCUAAUGAUCGUGUAGAUUAAAAGGGUGUCAAUGGAUAUUUUAAGGCAAAGAAACCAGAUAAUCCUUGACUUAUUGCACCUAGGCGUCUACUUUCACUAUUUAUUUAUUGGCCAGCUUGACAUAUUAUCGAAAUCCAAAUACUUUACUAAGAAUACCUAAGACCAGACAAAGGUGGCCCUGUGUUCUUCAUCUAUGCGUUUUGUUAGCUAAUAUCCAAUAGGUUCCCAAGGUGAUAAAUAUUUCUAAUGGUGAUAUAUGAUCCUUAAAAGAAAGUACUUAAGUUAAGAAAAACAAUGGAGAGACGUACGUGUGCAUUAACAAUCCACGUUACAUAAUAGAUGAUAUGCUCAGAUUUUGUUAAAUCACGUCGUGUCAGACAUAUUGUAAUUCGCACUUUCAAUAGCGCGUGGGUCAUCUUGUUUUUUUAAUCAUAUAAAAAUUAUAGAUAUAUAAACAAUGUUGUUUUUAUUUAUUUUAUUUAAAAAUACUUCUAUUCAAUUAAAAAUGUGCAAAACAGCAUUUCUUCAACGUUUUGUUAAAUCUAAAAAGAGAACAUCGUAUAUAUAUAUAUAUAUAUAUGCGUAUAUAUAUAUAAACGUAUUACACCACUUGGUAUUUAUCGACAAGUAUAAAAACAAGCAAGAUUAUGCCUUUUGGGACUUUUCAACAAGAUCUUUUUUUCAAUGAUUUUUAGAAUUCUAAUAGUUAAUUGAUUGUAAGAAAGCGUUGGAAGAUAAUGUUUCUUUAUAAAAGUCAGUAUUUAGUAUAACUUCGCAAGAAAAUUAUUAUCCGACUAUUGCUAAAGUUUGGGUAUAUGAUAACAAGCACAAACAUUUAAUAAGAUCUUUUUUUUUUUUUACUACGUACAAAACGAUAAAUAAUAAAUUUGUACCAAUGUUAUAAAGUUUUUGUACUUUUUAUAUUUUUAAUUCAUAAAUUUUUAUAAUAAUAAAAUACAUUCCGUUACAAUUUCAUAAAAAUUUAUACAUAACAUAAUUCAUUUGAAAGAGAUUCAUAUACAAUUGCAUAUAUCCAGCUUUAAUGUCACUGCCAAGUCCAUAAGCAAUCAAAUAAAAUAGAAUCUAUUUAUAUGGUGCAUUUUUUAUUUUUUCAAUAUAUAUUUAUCAAUUAGUAAAAUACUAAUAAUAAUAUAGAACAACUGAGCAAAUUUAUGUAUUAUAUUUU